AUAUAGAGGUUUUACUGUAUA
rnacentral:sRNA from 1 species